GAAACCCUAGACAGGGUGUAUCUGCUGUACCGAUCUCUAAGUCCCGGGCGAGGAUGAAACUCCGCCUCGCCCGACCCUUGAUUCCUUGGUCCGGGGUCGGAUGCGCCCGACCCCUUGAGGAUGGAACUCCGCCCUGAGUCCUGGGUCCUGGGGUCGGAUGCGCCUGACCCCGUUGAGGGUGGAACUCCGUCUCGCCCGACCCCGAGUGAGGCUCCGUCUCGCCCGACCCCGAGUAAGGCUCCGUCUCGCCCGACCCUGAGUCCUGGGGUCGGGAAUGUCCAACCCUUGAGCGGAACGCUCCGGC
rnacentral:lncRNA from 1 species